rnacentral:rRNA from 1 species
UGGGGAAUAUUGGACAAUGGGGGGAACCCUGAUCCAGCAAUGCCGCGUGUGUGAAGAAGGCCUGAGGGUUGUAAAGCACUUUCAGAGGGGAGGAGGACUAUUAGGUUAAGAGCUAGAUAGUUGGACGUUACCCUCAGAAGCAGCACCGGCUAACUCCGUGCCAGCAGCCGCGGUAAUACGUAGGGACCAAGCGUUGUUCGGAUUUACUGGGCGUAAAGGGCGCGUAGGCGGCAAUUCAAGUCAUCUGUGAAAUCUCCGGGCUUAACUCGGAACGGUCAGAUGAUACUGCUUUGCUAGAGUGCAGAAGGGGCAAUCGGAAUCCUUGGUGUAGCGGUGAAAUGCGUAGAUAUCAAGAGGAACACCUGAGGUGAAGACGGGUUGCUGGGCUGACACUGACGCUGAGGCGCGAAAGCCAGGGGAGCAAACGGGAUUAGAUACCCCCGUAGUCCCUGAGCGGGCUGGCAAGGCGCAU